rnacentral:rRNA from 1 species
AGAGUUUGAUCAUGGCUCAGAAUAAACGCUGGCGGCGUGCCUAACACAUGCAAGUCGAGCGAGAAAGCUCCUUCGGGAGUUAGUAAAGCGGCGAACGGUCGAGUAACACGUGAGAAUCUACCCUUCAGUGAGGAAUACCUCCGAGAAAUCGGGGUUAAUACUGCAUACGUCCCUUCGGGGAGAAAGGUGGCUUUAAUGCUGCCGCUGAUGGAUGAGCUUGCGGGCUAUCAGUUAGUUGGUGAGGUAAUGGCUCACCAAGACUAUGACGGCUAGCCGGCCUGAGAGGGUGUACGGCCAGACUGGAACUUAGACACGGUCCAGACUCCUACGGGAGGCAGCAGUGGGGAAUAUUGCGCAAUGGGCGAAAGCCUGACGCAGCGACGCCGCGUGAAGGAUGAAGGUCUUCGGAUUGUAAACUUCUGUUAAGUGGGAAGAAAGACACAUUUCUAAUACAAAUGUGGGAUGACGGUACCAUUAGAGAAAGCACCGGCUAACUUCGUGCCAGCAGCCGCGGUAAUACGAGGGGUGCAAGCGUUAUUCGGAAUAAUUGGGCGUACAGGGUGUGUUGACGGCAUAUUAAGUCAACUGUUUAAUUCUCCGGCCUAACCGGAGGUCAGCGGUAGAAACUGAUGUGCUUGAGUAUGGAAGAGAGAAGUGGAAUUCUCGGAGUAGCGGUAAAAUGCGUAGAUCUCGAGAGGAACACCGAUGGCGAAAGCAGCUUCUUGGUCCAUUACUGACGUUGAGACACGAAAGCGUGGGGAGCAAACAGGAUUAGAUACCCUGGUAGUCCACGCUGUAAACG